rnacentral:rRNA from 1 species
AUGGGCGCCGUCGCUGCUCUCCUCCUAGCCGGUCUACUCGCCGCGCUCACGUACGUGCUUCGCGCGCUCCACUCCAUCGUAUGGGUCCCGCACCGCCUGGAGCGCCGUCUGCGCCGUCAGGGCAUCCGGGGCCCUCCGCGCAGCCUGCUCUCCGGGAACGCGGCCGAAUACGUCGCCAUGACCAAAGCCGCCCAGUCCAAGCCGCUCGCCUCCUUCCACCACGCCUUCAUCGGCCGCGCCGCGCCGCAGUACCGCGAGUGGGCGGCGCGGUACGGCUGCCCGUUCGUGUUCUGGUUCGGGCCCCGGCCGCGGUUGGUGGUCUCCGGCCCGGAGGUCGCGAAGGCCGUGCUGACCGACUCCACGGGGGCCUUCGAGAAGGGUACCACCGGCAGCGGCAACAACCCGCAAGCUCGGCAGCUCAUCGGCGAGGGGCUGGUGGGGCUCACCGGGGAGAAGUGGGCGCACCACCGCCGUGUGACCUCGCCCGCCUUCAACAUGGAGAGAGUCAAGGGUUGGAUACCAGAAAUAUCAGCUAUCACUUUAUCCAUGCUGGAUAAAUGGGAAGUCCAAGGAGAAACUCGAGCAGAGUUUGAGAUCGAUGUAAAUAAAGAAUUCCACACUUUGAGUGCGGAUGUCAUUUCUUGCGUGGCAUUUGGAAGUAGCUACGAGGAAGGAAAGCGAAUUUUUCAAUUGCAAGAUGAACAGAUACAACUUGUCAUACUUGCUAUGAGAACCUUCUACUUUCCUGGCUUCAGGUAUGUGCCGACAAAGAAGAACCGAAGAAGGCAUAGCCUAAACAAGGAAAUCCGAAAUUCCCUGCGCAGAUUGAUUGAGAUAAAUCGAAACAAGUGUGAAGAUUCCAAAAAUUUGCUUGGCUUAAUGCUAUCAGCCAGCAAAGCUGACAAUGAGUUUAAAAUGGGAAUCGAAGAAAUCAUUGAUGAGUGCAAGACAUUUUACUUUGCCGGCAAGGAAACAACUGCAAAUUUGUUGACUUGGGCAACGCUUCUGCUGGCAUUGAAUCAAGAAUGGCAACACAAGGCCCGAGAUGAAGUCCUUCAAGUGUGUGGCAAGAACGAGCACCCAAACGCGGAAACUCUGAGCAGUCUGAAAAUUGUUAAUAUGGUGUUGAAAGAGACCCUCAGGCUGUAUCCUCCAGCUCUGUUCGUCAACAGGACAGUCACUAGGGAUGUGAAGCUGGGCAAACUUGACAUCCCUGCGGGUACGCAGGUCAAUCUUCCUAUUGUUGACACUCACCAUGAUGUCGGCAUAUGGGGAGUUAAUGCGGAGGAGUUCGAUCCAUCGAGGUUUGCAGAUGGCAAGAGCUAUCACCUUGGUGCAUACUUCCCCUUUGGGAUUGGCCCUGCCAUCUGUGUUGGCCAGAAUCUCGCGAUGGUCGAGGCAAAGUUGGUGCUUGCAAUAGUGCUCCAGCGGUUUGCGUUUGAUGUCUCGCCAUCCUAUGUUCAUGCACCAAUGAUGGUGAUGACCCUCCAACCCCAGUAUGGUGCUCAACUUCGUAUCCGCAAGAUCUGA